GACGAACGCUGGCGGCGUGCCUAAUACAUGCAAGUUGAGCGAUGAAGAUUGGUGCUUGCACCAAUUUGAAGAGCAGCGAACGGGUGAGUAACGCGUGGGGAAUCUGCCUUUGAGUGGGGGACAACAUUUGGAAACGAAUGCUAAUACCGCAUAACAACUUUAAACAUAAGUUUUAAGUUUGAAAGAUGCAAUUGCAUCACUCAAAGAUGAUCCCGCGUUGUAUUAGCUAGUUGGUGAGGUAAGGGCUCACCAAGGCGAUGAUACAUAGCCGACCUGAGAGGGUGAUCGGCCACAUUGGGACUGAGACACGGCCCAAACUCCUACGGGAGGCAGCAGUAGGGAAUCUUCGGCAAUGGACGAAAGUCUGACCGAGCAACGCCGCGUGAGUGAAGAAGGUUUUCGGAUCGUAAAACUCUGUUGGUAGAGAAGAACGUUGGUGAGAGUGGAAAGCUCAUCAAGUGACGGUAACUACCCAGAAAGGGACGGCUAACUACGUG
rnacentral:rRNA from 1 species